CUGCCACUAGGCAAGGAUCUCUUUUUGGAGAUUCUUUCCUUGUGGAGUCUUUCUUUGUGAGCCUGAAUCUUCAAAUAUGGGCCACCUGAUCAAGGGAAGCCUGUUGAAGAGAUCUCCUUGCUUCAGCUACAAGAAGCACUGCACUUGCAGGCUCUCAUCCUGAUGGGGAAUUGAAGAUACAUGGAUGCCUGCUGGGAAAGCAAAACAGUGGGGCUGCAAGCAAUGCAGGAGACUCCUAAAGUACACUGAGGAUAAAUUCCUCAUCCAGGACUUGAAUUUUUUUCCAGUUGACCUUUACAACAUUCCCUUAGGAUGUGUGGGCAGAUCCUUGCUGAUUAGAAUCUAAUACCAUUGAUGUUCAACAAGAACAAGAUGUACAGAAGAUAUUGUCAAGUUAUAUUUUUGCCAACUCUUUUUA
ensembl:lncRNA